rnacentral:rRNA from 1 species
GAUGAACGCUGGCGGCGUGCCUAACACAUGCAAGUCGAGCGAUUCUCCUCGGAGAAGAGCGGCGGACGGGUGAGUAACGCGUGGGUAACCUGCCCUGUACACACGGAUAACAUACCGAAAGGUAUGCUAAUACGAGAUAAUAUGCUUUUAUCGCAUGGUAGAAGUAUCAAAGCUCCGGCGGUACAGGAUGGACCCGCGUCUGAUUAGCUAGUUGGUAAGGUAACGGCUUACCAAGGCGACGGUCAGUAGCCGACCUGAGAGGGUGAUUGGCCACAUUGGAACUGAGACACGGUCCGAACUCCUACGGGAGGCAGCAGUGGGGAAUAUUGCACAAUGGGCGAAAGCCUGAUGCAGCAACGCCGCGUGAGCGAUGAAGGCCUUCGGGUCGUAAAGCUCUGUCCUCAAGGAAGAUAAUGACGGUACUUGAGGAGGAAGCCCCGGCUAACUACGUGCCAGCCGCCGCGGUAA